ensembl:snoRNA U3 Small nucleolar RNA U3
AAGACUUACUUUCAGGGAUCUUUCAAUAGUUUCUGACUUGAGAAAUGUGUUUCUAAAGUGGUUGUCUCGCCAACCAUGAUGAUGAGUCGUGCAUAUUCCUUCGAGCGUGAAUGCGACAGAGAGUAAUGAUUGUUCCUUCAUGUUUCUCUGCAUUGAGAUUGUUCUUUACAUUCUUUGUGGAGUAAUUAGAGGAAGGAAUUGGAUAGGAGUGGU